rnacentral:rRNA from 1 species
UACGGAGGGUGCGAGCGUUGUCCGGAAUCAUUGGGCGUAAAGGGCGCGUAGGCGGCCCUGGUAAGUCUGCGGUGAAAGCCCGGGGCUCAACCCCGGGUCGGCCGCGGCGACUGUGGGGCUCGGGUACUGUAGAGGCAGAUGGAAUUCCGGGUGUAGCGGUGGAAUGCGUAGAGAUCCGGAAGAACACCAGUGGCGAAGGCGGUCUGCUGGGCAGUGGGAUCGAAAGGUCCCUUUAACCGACACUGAGGCGCGACAGCGUGGGGAGCAAACAGG